UAUCAAGGUAGGCCCAGUCUAAUCAUGUGAGCUCUUAAUAUCAGAGUUGGGCAACAUGAAAACUCAGCCCUCCAUUGCUGGUUGUGAAGAUGGAGGAAGGAAACCAUGAGCCAAGGAAUUCAGUGGCUUCUAGAAGCUGGAAAUGGCACUCAGAUUAUAGCCAGCAAGAAAACACAGACCAUAGACCUAAGUUUCACAGAACUAAAUUCUGCCAACAACUCAAAUGGAGAGGAAAAGGAUUCUCUUUUAGAGCCUUCGGAAAGGGAUAAAGCCUGUUGACAUCUUGAUGAGACUGUAUUAGACUUCUGACCUACAGAACUGUAAGGGUCUUACUCUGGCAC
rnacentral:lncRNA from 10 species